AUUGAACGCUGGCGGCAUGCCUUACACAUGCAAGUCGAACGGCAGCACGGGUGCUUGCCCCUGGUGGCGAGUGGCGAACGGGUGAGUAAUACAUCGGAACAUGUCCUGUAGUGGGGGAUAGCCCGGCGAAAGCCGGAUUAAUACCGCAUACGAUCUACGGAUGAAAGCGGGGGACCUUCGGGCCUCGCGCUAUAGGGUUGGCCGAUGGCUGAUUAGCUAGUUGGUGGGGUAAAGGCCUACCAAGGCGACGAUCAGUAGCUGGUCUGAGAGGACGACCAGCCACACUGGGACUGAGACACGGCCCAGACUCCUACGGGAGGCAGCAGUGGGGAAUUUUGGACAAUGGGCGAAAGCCUGAUCCAGCAAUGCCGCGUGUGUGAAGAAGGCCUUCGGGUUGUAAAGCACUUUUGUCCGGAAAGAAAUCCUUGGCCCUAAUACAGUCGGGGGAUGACGGUACCGGAAGAAUAAGCACCGGCUAACUACGUG
rnacentral:rRNA from 1 species